rnacentral:rRNA from 1 species
GAUGAACGCUGGCGGCGUGCUUAACACAUGCAAGUCGAACGAAGCACUUUAUUUUAUUUCCUUCGGGACUGAUUAUUUUGUGACUGAGUGGCGGACGGGUGAGUAACGCGUGGGUAACCUGCCUUGUACAGGGGGAUAACAGUUGGAAACGGCUGCUAAUACCGCAUAAGCGCACAGCAUCGCAUGAUGCAGUGUGAAAAACUCCGGUGGUAUAAGAUGGACCCGCGUUGGAUUAGCUAGUUGGUGAGGUAACGGCCCACCAAGGCGACGAUCCAUAGCCGACCUGAGAGGGUGACCGGCCACAUUGGGACUGAGACACGGCCCAAACUCCUACGGGAGGCAGCAGUGGGGAAUAUUGCACAAUGGGCGAAAGCCUGAUGCAGCGACGCCGCGUGAGCGAAGAAGUAUUUCGGUAUGUAAAGCUCUAUCAGCAGGGAAGAUAAUGACGGUACCUGACUAAGAAGCACCGGCUAAAUACGUG